CUGUAAAUCCUCCUACUGACUUCACCAAGUCAUGUAAAGGAUUAGAUACAAACUAGUCUAAAGACACCUAAAUCAGUCACAUUGAUUCACUUUAAUGGCAUGAGUCUGUAUGAAUCGACUAGUGACUCAAUCAAAACACAAUCUACCAUAUUGGCUAGGUAAGUGAGAUCAGUGGGAGGGAUGUGCCCUUAACUCACUGUAGAUGC
rnacentral:lncRNA from 1 species